UUCAUAUAGUAUCAUAGAUCUUCAUACUACAAUGCAAUAACUUAUGUGGAGGAACAGGAAAAAACACUAUAUACACUAACAAUGAAGUUUCCACAUGCCGGCUGACUUGACACAUUGCACAGAUUUCCCUAUCAUGCUUCAUUCAAUCCUUCAAGAAUCUGAUAUCAAAGAGACGCUAUUGCCAUCGCCUGUUUCUUCCCUUCAUGAUCUUUUAUUUCCUUUGAAGUCGGCAUGGAAUUCAGGUUUCUGAGGAGAGAGUGGUUGAGAGUAUUAUCACGUAUCACGGGCCGGUGGGGAAGGUAGAGAAGGGUGGAGUGGAGGAGACGGGCAGAUGGGUCUCAGGGCAUGAUCUUACCGUUAGUCUGCGUCCAGUUCCUGCAGAUCUACAGUCUAGCAGUUGAUCUGUGUUCUAAGUCUUCUCCCAGCAUGUAGCAGUCACCACACAGCCCGCCGCAGGAUGUUCUGAAGAGAAGAGUGUGCUGACACUCAUCUUGCUCAGCUCUCCAUUUGUCACGAGGCAUCCUGAGGGCGAGAUAACCUUGGCAACACAGGGAUGAGGCGACGAUGAUGAAUGACGAUGCCGGAUGACAGUGACGUACAGUAGAGACGACAUAACAGAAGCUCAGGCCAAUAAGAUGUUGAUGUCAUCAUACACCAAAAUAGCCUCAAGUUUAUCGCCUUUGUCUUCCUCCGUCUCUGUAAUGUAAUGGGAAGUUGAUUUAUUAGAGAAGAAUAAAACUCAUCUUUAUCA